UGCUAUACAUGCAGUCGAACGCACAGCGAAAGGUGCUUGCACCUUUCAAGUGAGUGGCGAACGGGUGAGUAACACGUGGACAACCUGCCUCAAGGCUGGGGAUAACAUUUGGAAACAGAUGCUAAUACCGAAUAAAACUUAGUAUCGCAUGAUACCAGGUUAAAAGGCGCUACGGCGUCACCUAGAGAUGGAUCCGCGGUGCAUUAGUUAGUUGGUGGGGUAAAGGCCUACCAAGACAAUGAUGCAUAGCCGAGUUGAGAGACUGAUCGGCCACAUUGGGACUGAGACACGGCCCAAACUCCUACGGGAGGCUGCAGUAGGGAAUCUUCCACAAUGGGCGAAAGCCUGAUGGAGCAACGCCGCGUGUGUGAUGAAGGCUUUCGGGUCGUAAAGCACUGUUGUAUGGGAAGAAAAGUUAAGGUAGGGAAUGACCUUAGCCUGACGGUACCAUACCAGAAAGGGACGGCUAAAUACGUGCCAGCAGCCGCGGUAAUACGUAUGUCCCGAGCGUUAUCCGGAUUUAUUGGGCGUAAAGCGAGCGCAGACGGUUGGUUAAGUCUGAUGUGAAAGCCCGGAGCUCAACUCCGGAAAGGCAUUGGAAACUGGUUAACUUGAGUGCAGUAGAGGUAAGUGGAACUCCAUGUGUAGCGGUGGAAUGCGUAGAUAUAUGGAAGAACACCAGCGGCGAAGGCGGCUUACUGGACUGUAACUGACGUUGAGGCUCGAAAGUGUGGGUAGCAAACAGGAUUAGAUACCCUGGUAGUCCACACCGUAAACGAUGAACACUAGGUGUUAGGAGGUUUCCGCCUCUUAGUGCCGAAGCUAACGCAUUAAGUGUUCCGCCUGGGGAGUACGACCGCAAGGUUGAAACUCAAAGGAAUUGACGGGGACCCGCACAAGCGGUGGAGCAUGUGGUUUAAUUCGAAGCAACGCGAGACCUUACCAGGUCUUG
rnacentral:rRNA from 1 species